rnacentral:snRNA from 1 species
GUGCUCGCUUCGGAAGCACAUAUACUAAAAUUGAAAAGAUACAGAGAAGAUUAGCAUAGCUCCUGCAAGGAUGACACACAAAUUCGGGAAGCGUUCCAUAUUUAA